GACGGAGGGGGCUAGCGUUGUUCGGAAUUACUGGGCGUAAAGGGCUCGUAGGCGGCCAACUAAGUCAGACGUGAAAUCCCAAAGCUUAACUUUGGAACUGCGUCGGAUACUGGAUGGCUUGAAUUCGGGAGAGGGAUGCAGAAUUCCAGGUGUAGCGGUGAAAUGCGUAGAUAUCUGGAGGAAUACCGGUGGCGAAGGCGGCAUCCUGGACCGACAUUGACGCUGAGGAGCGAAAGCUAGGGGAGCAAACGGG
rnacentral:rRNA from 1 species